rnacentral:rRNA from 1 species
UCCUACGGGGGGCAGCAGUGAGGAAUAUUGGUCAAUGGUCGGGAGACUGAACCAGCCAAGCCGCGUGAGGGAUGAAGGUACAGAGUAUCGUAAACCUCUUUUGUCAGGGAACAAAGGCGGGGACGCGUCCCCGGAUGAGUGUACCUGAAGAAAAAGCAUCGGCUAACUCCGUGCCAGCAGCCGCGGUAAUACGGAGGAUGCGAGCGUUAUCCGGAUUUAUUGGGUUUAAAGGGUGCGCAGGCGGUCUGUUAAUUCAGCGGUCAAAGCCCGGGGCUCAACCCCGGCCCGCCCUUGAAACUGGCCGU